rnacentral:rRNA from 1 species
UUUAAGCUUCCUACGGGAGGCUGCAGUGGGGAAUCUUGCGCAAUGUGGCGAAAGCCUGACGCAGCCAUGCCGCGUGAAUGAUGAAGGUCUUAGGAUUGUAAAAUUCUUUCACCGGGGACGAUAAUGACGGUACCCGGAGAAGAAGCCCCGGCUAACUUCGUGCCAGCAGCCGCGGUAAUACGAAGGGGGCUAGCGUUGCUCGGAAUUACUGGGCGUAAAGGGAGCGUAGGCGGACAUUUAAGUCAGGGGUGAAAUCCCGGGGCUCAACCUCGGAAUUGCCUUUGAUACUGGGUGUCUUGAGUAUGAGAGAGGUGUGUGGAACUCCGAGUGUAGAGGUGAAAUUCGUAGAUAUUCGGAAGAACACCAGUGGCGAAGGCGACACACUGGCUCAUUACUGACGCUGAGGCUCGAAAGCGUGGGGAGCAAACAGGAUUAGAUACCCUUGUAGUCGAAUUCUU